UCACCGUUGCGUGGUUACUGUGCUGGAA
rnacentral:sRNA from 1 species